GUUCACUUGAGGAUACAAGAACAAUCACAGUUACAAUAGAGGGAAUGAGCAUGGCCGGGAUGGGAGAGUGUGCGGCACCCAGGGUGAGAGUUCCUCCGCAGCCAGAAAGUGCUGUCACCUUGCGCAUGGAAUCAGAAAUAUGGAAAGCCGUGGGAGCCUAGGCAGUUUCGUGGAGGCUCACCUUACUAGACCUGGAUGGUGGGUUCUACAUAAAUAAAGCAGCCUCCAGCGGUACCCUCAAAGACUGCAAUUGGGGACCAGAAGGAAGUCCCUGCUACUCUGUGCUUCUACUCCAGGUCACCUGCAACAGUCUCCAUCUUUCCGGUCUACAGCCCCUUCAUAGGCAGGACCAGG